rnacentral:rRNA from 1 species
UACGUAGGUGGCAAGCGUUGUUCGGAAUUAUUGGGCGUAAAGGGCGCGUAGGCGGCAUGUUAAGUCGGCUGUGAAAGCCCGGGGCUCAACCCCGGAGGGUCGGCCGAUACUGGCAAGCUAGAGUACAGAAGAGGUAGCUGGAAUUCCCGGUGUAGCGGUGAAAUGCGUAGAUAUCAGGAGGAACACCGGUGGCGAAGGCGGGUCUCUGGGCCGAUACUGACGCUGAGGAGCGAAAGCGUGGGGAGCGAACAGG